rnacentral:rRNA from 1 species
UAGGGAAUCUUCGGCAAUGGACGAAAGUCUGACCGAGCAACGCCGCGUGAGUGAAGAAGGUUUUUCGGAUCGUAAAACUCUGUUGGUAGAGAAGAACGUUGGUGAGAGUGGAAAGCUCAUCAAGUGACGGUAACUACCCAGAAAGGGACGGCUAACCACGUGCCAC